UGGAUGAACGCUAGCUACAGGCUUAACACAUGCAAGUCGAGGGGCAGCAUUUUAGUUUGCUUGCAAACUGAAGAUGGCGACCGGCGCACGGGUGAGUAACACGUAUCCAACCUGCCGAUAACUCCGGAAUAGCCUUUCGAAAGAAAGAUUAAUACCGGAUAGUAUACGAAUAUCGCAUGGUAUUUUUAUUAAAGAAUUUCGGUUAUCGAUGGGGAUGCGUUCCAUUAGUUUGUUGGCGGGGUAACGGCCCACCAAGACUACGAUGGAUAGGGGUUCUGAGAGGAAGGUCCCCCACAUUGGAACUGAGACACGGUCCAAACUCCUACGGGAGGCAGCAGUGAGGAAUAUUGGUCAAUGGGCGAGAGCCUGAACCAGCCAAGUAGCGUGAAGGAUGAAGGCUCUAUGGGUCGUAAACUUCUUUUAUAUGGGAAUAAAGUUUUCCACGUGUGGAAUUUUGUAUGUACCAUAUGAAUAAGGAUCGGCUAACUCCGUGCCAGCAGCCGCGGUAAUACGGAGGAUCCGAGCGUUAUCCGGAUUUAUUGGGUUUAAAGGGAGCGUAGGUGGAUUGUUAAGUCAGUUGUGAAAGUUUGCGGCUCAACCGUAAAAUUGCAGUUGAAACUGGCAGUCUUGAGUACAGUAGAGGUGGGCGGAAUUCGUGGUGUAGCGGUGAAAUGCUUAGAUAUCACGAAGAACUCCGAUUGCGAAGGCAGCUCACUAGACUGUCACUGACACUGAUGCUCGAAAGUGUGGGUAUCAAACAGGAUUAGAUACCCUGGUAGUCCACACAGUAAACGAUGAAUACUCGCUGUUUGCGAUAUACAGUAAGCGGCCAAGCGAAGGCAUUAAGUAUUCCACCUGGGGAGUACGCCGGCAACGGUGAAACUCAAAGGAAUUGACGGGGGCCCGCACAAGCGGAGGAACAUGUGGUUUAAUUCGAUGAUACGCGAGGAACCUUACCCGGGCUUAAAUUGCAACAGAAUAUAUUGGAAACAGUAUAGCCGUAAGGCUGUUGUGAAGGUACUGCAUGGUUGUCGUCAGCUCGUGCCGUGAGGUGUCGGCUUAAGUGCCAUAACGAGCGCAACCCUUAUCUUUAGUUACUAACAGGUGAUGCUGAGGACUCUAGAGAGACUGCCGUCGUAAGAUGUGAGGAAGGUGGGGAUGACGUCAAAUCAGCACGGCCCUUACGUCCGGGGCUACACACGUGUUACAAUGGGGGGUACAGAAGGCGGCUACCUGGUGACAGGAUGCUAAUCCCAAAAACCUCUCUCAGUUCGGAUCGAAGUCUGCAACCCGACUUCGUGAAGCUGGAUUCGCUAGUAACCGCGCAUCAGCCAUGGCGCGGUGAAUACGUUCCCGGGCCUUGUACACACCGCCCGUCAAGCCAUGAAAGCCGGGGGUACCUGAAGUACGUAACCGCAAGGAGCGUCCUAGGGUAAAACUGGUA
rnacentral:rRNA from 1 species